CCCUUAGAUGUUCGGGGCCGCACGCGUGCUACAAUGAGAGACGCAACGUGUGUCCUUCCCCCUUGCCCGAGACGGCUAGGUAAUCAUGACAAAGUCUCUCGUGAUAGGGACUGGGGCUUGUAACUGUUCCCCACGAACGAGGAAUACCUAGUAGGCGCGUGUCAUCAGCGCGCGCCGACUACGUCCCUGCCCUUUGUACACACCGCCCGUCGCUCCUACCGAUUGAGUGGUCCGGUGAGGCUUUGGGAUCUGAGCGGAAAGAGCGUUUCGCUGUUUCUGCUCGGAAAACUCAGUCGAACCUUAUCAUUUAGAGGAAGGAGAAGUCGUAACA
rnacentral:rRNA from 1 species